rnacentral:lncRNA from 1 species
CAUCCCCAGCAGCCCUUCAUUCUUCUCACUGCCUCCUUUCCUUCUCACUGUUCAGAGCGCCCUGUGCAUGCAAAUCAAGGAACUGACUUGAGAUGACUUUCAGAGCUCUGUCUCUUGUGUUUCUUUGGCCUGGAAGAAACAACGCCUAAGUUUUGAGCUGUAAGUUGUUUUUCCUCCAGGAAAAUAUACAUCAACCUCAUUGAAGUUUAACCUUCCUUAACUCCUUUAUGGUUUGAAGGCAUGAAGCUGCCUGACAUCUAAGGAUCUCUGAAGAGAACUGGGACCUGAAACCCAUCUGAAAUGUAUCUGCAGACAGGUCAAGUUCAUCGAGAGUCACCUCCUGCCUGACACUCCAGUCAUUAAUUCCAGAUAGGGGAUUUAGCCUGGAAAGAAUAUAUGACUGCCAGUUACUAAGUGAGCCAGACAUCAAGCCUAGUGCCACGUGUCUCUUCUUUAAAGCAUGAUAGGUCACCAACUGAAGAGGAAAUUGGUGAGCAUCAACUUUCUCAGCAUGGUGAGAGAACAUUGAUGGCUGGUUCAUGCUAAAUGUCCAGAGGAAAGAAAAG